GAUGAACGCUGGCGGCGUGCCUAAUACAUGCAAGUCGAGCGAACAGACGAGGAGCUUGCUCCUCUGACGUUAGCGGCGGACGGGUGAGUAACACGUGGAUAACCUACCUAUAAGACUGGGAUAACUUCGGGAAACCGGAGCUAAUACCGGAUAAUAUAUUGAACCGCAUGGUUCAAUAGUGAAAGACGGUUUUGCUGUCACUUAUAGAUGGAUCCGCGCCGCAUUAGCUAGUUGGUAAGGUAACGGCUUACCAAGGCAACGAUGCGUAGCCGACCUGAGAGGGUGAUCGGCCACACUGGAACUAAGGCACGGUCCAGACUCCUACGGGAGGCAGCAGUAGGGAAUCUUCCGCAAAGGGCGAAAGCCUGACGGAGCAACGCCGCGUGAGUGAUGAAGGGCUUCGGAUCGUAAAACUCUGUUAUUAGGGAAGAACAAAUGGGUAAGUAACUAUGCACGUCUUGACGGUACCUAAUCAGAAAGCCACGGCUAACUACGUG
rnacentral:rRNA from 1 species